CCCUUAGAUGUCCGGGGCCGCACGCGCGCUACACUGAAGGAAUCAGCGUGGCUUUCUCCCUGACCCGAAAGGGUUGGGAAACCCGUUGAAUCUCCUUCGUGAUAGGGAUUGGGGCUUGAAAUUGUUCCCCAUGAACGAGGAAUUCCCAGUAAGCGCGAGUCAUAAGCUCGCGUUGAUUACGUCCCUGCCCUUUGUACACACCGCCCGUCGCUCCUACCGAUUGAAUGUGUUGGUGAGGAGCUCGGAUUGGCAGCAGUUGGUGGUUCGCCACCGGCUAUUGCUGAGAAGUCCUCCAAACCGCCCCAUUUAGAGGAAGGAGAAGUCGUAACA
rnacentral:rRNA from 1 species